rnacentral:rRNA from 1 species
ACUCCUACGGGAGGCAGCAGUGGGGAAUUUUGGACAAUGGGCGCAAGCCUGAUCCAGCAAUGUUGCGUGCAGGAUGAAGGCCUUCGGGUCGUAAACUGUUUUUGUACAGAACGAAACGGCGAGCUCUAAUACAGUUUGCUAAUGACGGUACCAUAAGAAUAAGCACCGGCUAACUACGUGCCAGCAGCCGCGGUAAU